GGGGAAUUUUCCGCAAUGGGGGGAAGACUGGCGGAGCAAUACCGCGUGAGGGAGGAAGGCUUUUGGGUUGUAAACCUCUUUUCUUAAGGAAGAAGAUCUGACGGUACUUAAGGAAUCAGCAUCGGCUAACUCCGUGCCAGCAGCCGCGGUAAUACGGAGGAUGCAAGCGUUAUCCGGAAUUAUUGGGCGUAAAGCGUCCGCAGGUGGCCUUUCAAGUCUGCUGUCAAAGACCAGAGCUCAACUCUGGGCCGGCGGUGGAAACUGGGAGGCUAGAGUACGGUAGGGGUAGAGGGAAUUCCCAGUGUAGCGGUGAAAUGCGUAGAGAUUGGGAAGAACACCAGUGGCGAAGGCGCUCUACUGGACCGAAACUGACACUCAGGGACGAAAGCUAGGGGAGCGAAAGGGAUUAGAUACCCCUGUAGUC
rnacentral:rRNA from 1 species